UUACUGUAAUUCCUUGGGGUUCAUUUCGGGGACUCUUGAGGAUCGUUUCGGGUCUCGGGAUCAGUUUGCGAACUUUUGGGGAUCGUUUCGGGUCCUGGGAUCAUUUCGGGUCCUGCACAGGUCUUUAAUCAACGGCAAUAUUGGCAGUUUUAUUGGAAGGAAAAGCAUCUUAAACUAUAACGAAGCUUCUUAAGGCAUUAAAGAUGUGAAGUUUUCAAUUAUUAUAGUCUUCAAUGAACAAGAGGAGCUAUUAAAGAAAUGAACUGCUUAUGGAAAUGUUUGGAACAGAGAAUACAUAUAAAAAGGAAAGGCCAGGGAUCGGACUGGGUGACCCCAGCUGUUUGUGAUGCAUUUGAAGCAUAUUGAACCCUUAAUACACUACAUGGUUAUCACCAAGUGAAAAUGCUAUUUUGUGACAAAUUGAACAUGAACUGGAUAUUGUUGUUUAUGAUAAAUUUGAUCCCCUCCAACAUUGUACAUACAAAGACACAAAUUCCAAAUCAAAUGGAGAUGGCUAAUUGAGCAUGCAGUAUUCAAAAUUAAUCUGAUGAUGUUGCCCAGCAUUGCAUAGAAAAA